GACGAACGCUGGCGGCGUGCUUAACACAUGCAAGUCGAACGGAAAGGCCCUGCUUUUGUGGGGUGCUCGAGUGGCGAACGGGUGAGUAACACGUGAGUAACCUGCCCUUGACUUUGGGAUAACUUCAGGAAACUGGGGCUAAUACCGGAUAGGAGCUCCUGCUGCAUGGUGGGGGUUGGAAAGUUUCGGCGGUUGGGGAUGGAUUCGCGGCUUAUCAGCUUGUUGGUGGGGUAGUGGCGUACCAAGGCUUUGACGGGUAGCCGGCCUGAGAGGGUGACCGGCCACAUUGGGACUGAGAUACGGCCCAGACUCCUACGGGAGGCAGCAGUGGGGAACAUUGCACAAUGGGCGGAAGCCUGAUGCAGCAACGCCGCGUGCGGGAUGACGGCCUUCGGGUUGUAAACCGCUUUCGCCUGUGACGAAGCGUGGGUGACGGUAAUGGGUAAAGAAGCACCGGCUAACUACGUG
rnacentral:rRNA from 1 species